rnacentral:rRNA from 1 species
UCUCAGGACGAACGCUGGCGGCGUGCCUAAUACAUGCAAGUCGAGCGGACAGAUGGGAGCUUGCUCCCUGAUGUUAGCGGCGGACGGGUGAGUAACACGUGGGUAACCUGCCUGUAAGACUGGGAUAACUCCGGGAAACCGGGGCUAAUACCGGAUGCUUGUUUGAACCGCAUGGUUCAAACAUAAAAGGUGGCUUCGGCUACCACUUACAGAUGGACCCGCGGCGCAUUAGCUAGUUGGUGAGGUAAUGGCUCACCAAGGCGACGAUGCGUAGCCGACCUGAGAGGGUGAUCGGCCACACUGGGACUGAGACACGGCCCAGACUCCUACGGGAGGCAGCAGUAGGGAAUCUUCCGCAAUGGACGAAAGUCUGACGGAGCAACGCCGCGUGAGUGAUGAAGGUUUUCGGAUCGUAAAGCUCUGUUGUUAGGGAAGAACAAGUACCGUUCGAAUAGGGCGGUACCUUGACGGUACCUAACCAGAAAGCCACGGCUAACUACGUGCCAGCAGCCGCGGUAAUACGUAGGUGGCAAGCGUUGUCCGGAAUUAUUGGGCGUAAAGGGCUCGCAGGCGGUUUCUUAAGUCUGAUGUGAAAGCCCCCGGCUCAACCGGGGAGGGUCAUUGGAAACUGGGGAACUUGAGUGCAGAAGAGGAGAGUGGAAUUCCACGUGUAGCGGUGAAAUGCGUAGAGAUGUGGAGGAACACCAGUGGCGAAGGCGACUCUCUGGUCUGUAACUGACGCUGAGGAGCGAAAGCGUGGGGAGCGAACAGGAUUAGAUACCCUGGUAGUCCACGCCGUAAACGAUGAGUGCUAAGUGUUAGGGGGUUUCCGCCCCUUAGUGCUGCAGCUAACGCAUUAAGCACUCCGCCUGGAUACGCCC